GCCAGGUGUGGUGGCACAUCCUGUAGUCCCAGCUACUUGUGAGGCUGAGGAAGGAGGAUUGCUUGAGUCCAGGAGUUCCAGGCUGCAGUGUGCUAUGCUGACUGGGUGUUGCACUAAGUUCGGCAUCAAUAUGGUGACCUCCUGGGAGUGGGGGACCACUAGGUUGCCUAAGGAGGGGUGAACCAGCCCAUGUUAGAAACAGGGCGGGUCAAAACUCCCGUGCUGAUCAGAAGAGGGUAGCAUUUAUAAAUCUUUUUGUAAAUCUUUCACAGGCCAGCAAAACCCC
rnacentral:SRP_RNA from 1 species